UUUUUUCCUUGUUUUUCUUCCAUGACUUUCCUUGUUUUUCUUCCAUGACUAUGCUAUACAUUUGGUCUAUUAGAAUCGGUGGUCUGAUUUGAUCUCGUAUUAUGUAUGUGUGUAAAUCCCGUAAUCAAUUUGUAUGCAAAUCCCAUAAUCAACAGUGAUUGUGAUUACCUUUUAGGAUUGUUUAUAUUUAUAAAUAAUUUUAUGCUGUUGCGGGAUUGAUCCGUUUGCAAAUUCCAUAAUCAAUGGAAGAAGGAAAGUCCGUUCCCCGUUCCCCGUUCCUAUCUGGUCCAACCCGGCCGAGUCGAACCGGUUCUAUCCAGCCGAGUCGAACCGGUCCUGUCCAGAGCAUGUGUUAGGUUCCAGGCCGGGUGUUAGGUUCCAGGCCGUGCGCGACCAAUAUCGUUCCGGUUCAGUCUAUAUAUGGUGGGAACCGAAGCUUGAGGUAUGUAACGAAUGUAAUAUUUAUUGGGCUUAUUUAUUUGUUUUUAGAAUAAUUUUUUUUCUAAUCUCAAGAUAAAUCAAUAUUAUACAAACGAUCGAUUUCAAUUAUGACUAUUGAUCUCUUUCAUUAA